UGAUUUAACAGAGUAUAGGUUGAGUUUUAGGAGAGGGAAAAAGCUCUCUCUCUUCUUGCCUACUCCCUACUCCACCUCAAAUCUAAUGAAGAGAAGAGAGAGUGAAAGCAAGUAGGGAAGAGGAGAGGAAGAACUAAAGGAGAGUGAGGGAACAGUUCCAGAGACGUUCUUAUGCAUUUUGAACAUGCAAAAUAAAAUCAGCACUCCGCAUACAUCUACUACUCCUUGGAGAAUGAGGUUGACCUAGUUGCAUUUGACAAGGUUGACUGCUAUGUGACCAAAGAGGACCUAAUAAAUCAUGGCAUUUGAAGAACAUCCUGAGUUCACAGAGGGCAAUGGCACCUCAGCAGACAAAGCGAGCUGGAGGUCACCGACAGCAUCCCAGCAGCUGCAGAAAAUGCCAGGCGACCAGCCAGAUUGGAGCUGCAUUGCCCGAGUCUAUGAAGUGGCUGCAGAGGAUUGCAAUACUUGCGAAUCCCCAAAGAGCUUUCAAAUGUGCCCCCAAAAUAAGAUGUUUAAAUACCUGACAGGCCUAGAGAGCAUGAAGUCAACUUGCAAUGCUACUGAUCAAAUGAGAAUGUUCCUUCGUCCCUUUCCUCUCCUGCCUUCCCCAGUAUAACCAUGACAGGACAAUAAGAUGGGGGACAAGGUUUUGGAAGUAUAAGACAGGGAUAGGAGUAGAGAACAUGGGGCAAGGUGAUUUAAACCUGUGUUUGUGGCCUAAAGUGACCAGGGCAUUUUGUAAUCUAACCAUGAACCAAAAACUUACGAGACUUCCCAAGGUUACAUCUGGGGAGUGGAAGAACUUUUCUCUACUGAAUGAAUUUUAUAAAUACAGUGGGAGGCAGAAGUAAAGAUACUUGUGAAUUAUAUCUCAGGAGUUCUGCUUAUUCAGCACCCUGGUCACAGAGCCACCCCUUUGCUCUGGGCCCCCAGAACAAAGAGGCAGUAGGACACAGGAAGAACAGUGUCCUCAGUGAUCCAGGGACUCAAAGACAGGCCAAUGUGUGAUGUUUUAGCCCCUCCUCUGGCUGCAGUGGCAGGGCUGGGGUCAGAGGGAGGAUGUUAUUGUGGAGAGUGCUGUUUCUUUUGAUGUGCAAGGAGGGGUACUAUGGGCUGAAUGUGUGUCCUCCCAAGUUCAUAUGUUGAAAUCCUAAUACCAAGGUGGUUGUAUUAGGGAGGUGGGGCCUCUGAGAGGUGAUUAGGUUCUGAGGGUAAAGGCCUCAUGAACGGGAUUAGUGAUUUCAUAAAAGAGGCUCCAGAGAGCUGUUUUGCCCAUUCCGCCAUGUUAGGACCAGCGAGAAAGCACCAUCUGUGAACCAGAAAGUGGGCCUUCAUCAGACCCUGAAUCUGCCAGUGCCUUGAUUACGGACCUCCCAACCUCGAGAACUGUAAGAAAUACACUUCUGUUGUUUGUAAACUAUCUGGCUUAUGGUAUUUUGUUAUAGCAGCCCAAAUGGACUAAGACAACGGAUGUUCAGCAGGAUCUGUUGGUCUCUUCUUCAAUGAAUUAUUAAAGGACUGGUAGGUGUUGUGCAUCUGAGGACUGGAAUGCAAU
rnacentral:lncRNA from 10 species